GGCUCAGAGUGAACGCUGGCGGCAGGCCUAAUACAUGCAAGUCGAACGGCAGCACAGUGGAGGCUUGCUCCAUGGGUGGCGAGUGGCGGACGGGUGAGGAAUACAUGGGAAUCUGCCCAGUCGUGGGGGAUGACGUAUGGAAACGUACGCUAAUACCGCAUGCGCCCUUCGGGGAAAGUCGGGGACCGCAAGGCCUGACGCGAUUGGAUGAGCCCAUGUUCGAUUAGCUAGUUGGCGGGGUAACGGCCCACCAAGGCGACGAUCGAUAGCUGGUCUGAGAGGAUGAUCAGCCACACUGGAACUGAGACACGGUCCAGACUCCUACGGGAGGCAGCAGUAGGGAAUAUUGGACAAUGGGCGCAAGCCUGAUCCAGCCAUGCCGCGUGAGUGAAGAAGGCCCUCGGGUUGUAAAGCUCUUUUGUUGGGGAAGAAAAGCAGUUGGUUAAUACCCGAUUGUUCUGACGGUACCCAAAGAAUAAGCACCGGCUAACUUCGUG
rnacentral:rRNA from 1 species